rnacentral:rRNA from 1 species
CCUACGGGGUGCUGCAGUGAGGAAUAUUGGUCAAUGGACGAGAGUCUGAACCAGCCAAGUAGCGUGAAGGAUGACUGCCCUAUGGGUUGUAAACUUCUUUUAUAUGGGAAUAAAACGUUCCACGUGUGGGAUUUUGUAUGUACCAUAUGAAUAAGGAUCGGCUAACUCCGUGCCAGCAGCCGCGGUAAUACGGAGGAUCCGAGCGUUAUCCGGAUUUAUUGGGUUUAAAGGGAGCGUAGGUGGAUUGUUAAGUCAGUUGUGAAAGUUUGCGGCUCAACCGUAAAAUUGCAGUUGAAACUGGCAGUCUUGAGGACAGUAGAGGUGGGCGGAAUUCGUGGUGUAGCGGUGAAAUGCUUAGAUAUCACGAAGAACUCCGAUUGCGAAGGCAGUUCACUGGACUGCAACUGACACUGAGGCUCGAAAGUGUGGGUAUCAAACAGGAUUAGAUACCCUAGUAGUC